CCUACGGGCGGCAGCAGUCGAGAAUCAUUCACAAUGGGGGAAACCCUGAUGGUGCGACGCCGCGUGGGGGAAUGAAGGUCUUCGGAUUGUAAACCCCUGUCAUGUGGGAGCAAAUUAAAAAGAUAGUACCACACUAGGAAGAGACGGCUAACUCUGUGCCAGCAGCCGCGGUAAUACAGAGGUCUCAAGCGUUGUUCGGAAUCACUGGGCGUAAAGCGUGCGUAGGCUGUUUCGUAAGUCGUGUGUGAAAGGCGCGGGCUCAACCCGCGGACGGCACAUGAUACUGCGAGACUAGAGUAAUGGAGGGGGAACCGGAAUUCUCGGUGUAGCAGUGAAAUGCGUAGAUAUCGAGAGGAACACUCGUGGCGAAGGCGGGUUCCUGGACAUUAACUGACGCUGAGGCACGAAGGCCAGGGGAGCGAAAGGGAUUAGAUACCCCUGUAGUC
rnacentral:rRNA from 1 species